GCAUUGGGACUGGCAAGUUGUUUCUCUAGAUUGAGGGGAAUAGCAUUUCAGCUGGAAACUAAGGUCAGUGGCAGACGCAAUGGGCUUUGUAUUCCUGCUAAGUGGUUUAAGCUUUAUCUUGAAGUCAGUCCAGAAAUAGCAAAGAUUGUUAAGCAGAAAUAACAUGAUCCGAUCGGAUAUUAGAAAGAUACUUCUAAUUAUUGCGCGGAGAAUUGAUUGAGGAUGAAGAGCCCAGUCAGGAAGCUCUUGAAAGUCCAAGCUGAUGAAGGCCUGACGCAAAGCAAAGGCAGUAAGAACUGAGGGGUGGAAACAAUCGCUAUGUGGAGGCAGGUUGGGCAGGCCGUGGUGGCCGGUAAAGGAAUGGUGAGCCUGGAGUUGUGCAGUGAACAACCUGUGCAGGAGGUUAAGGAUCUAGGAGCAUGAAGAAUGACUCUGGUGGCUAUUUUUGCUGAGCCAGCAGAAAGAUCACAACAGAAAAAUGGAGAAAAAGGGUGGCCAACAUGGCUAAUGAUAAUUCCCAGGUUUACGCCUUGGACUUUCUGCCACAGAAGGAGUCCCAUUGUUCUCCCUCCAAGUUCCAAACAUUGAGAAGAGUUGUAAGUGGCCCAGUUGACCUCUGGACCAACUGAUGACAGGAUCUUGUAAGAUGAUAUUACAAGGGUUCAGAUCUUAUAAGAACUUGACUGCAGUUGACCACAGGUAACUGAAACCACGGAUGAGAGAGGAUGAGUGUAGUAGAUUUGAUCACUCCCAAAAUGCUGAAGUAGAGAGCGGUUGGAAGACAACUAGUCAGCCCUUACGAUGCUACAAGCAUUGCACUAGGAAUUUUGUAGACAUCACCUCAAAGGAGAAGCAAUAAAAACUAUGAUUAACCUGCAACAGCGACAUUUUGCCCAUAAACUCUGUUAGGUUUCAGAGAAUGUCCUUGAGGAUUCCAAGCUAGCAUGCCUUUUUCCAACUGCUGCUUCUCCAAGGGUGGGUUGCACCCUUAACUUCCUGAUCUGAUGUCUGUGAAACAAAGGCGCCGGCAUAGAACAGUGGGAAAGAGACAUGUUCUGAAGCCAGGGGGACCUCAGUUUACCUUCUAUCCCGGCCACUUACUAGUUGAAUGAUCUUAGACAAAUCAGCAACCCAUUUUACCAUCAGUUUUCUUCUCUGUAAAACGUGGCUAAAAUAUAUACAAUAUAGGAUUUGGGGAGAAUUGAAAGAGUGUAUGUCUACAAAAUGUACAUCACGGUGUCUGGCUCAUAAUCAUUCAAUAAAUGUUAGUUUCUUGGUUAUGGAAGUAACAAAUGAAAUAAGGCAAAAUUCUUAUAUUAAGUUCAAUGCUUUGCUCUUUUCCACACUAAAAUCUAAUACCAUUCAGAAUGGAAAAAUUCUCAAAUAAAAUGGAGCACAAGUUUACAUAGAAAAAU
rnacentral:lncRNA from 1 species